UGUCAGAAGAGUAUGAAACAAUCUGAAUGGAACAUGGAAGGUUACACUGGGGGAAGCUGGGAGGAUAGCAGCUUUGGAGGCUGGGGCAUGUGGACAGGACAGUGUGUCACAGUGUGAGGCAGAGACGGCUGAACUGGGUUGAGCAGCGGAUGGGGGACUGAGAAGGGAGCACACAGCAGAGGAGACAACCAGGCCAGCUGGAAGGGUCACAGAGAGGAGCUGAAGGGUUCCUGUGUGUGCCCUGGAGAAGCAAACCCGGAGAGACCUAGAAACUGGGCUGAGGAUGUGGGAGGUCAGGUGAGCUGCCUCAGACAACUGAGAGAGUGCAGUGCAGGAGAGGGGGUCCUACAGGAGGAGGAGCCAGUGCUAGACCCUUGCAGCUAAGGUAUGAGAAGUUACAUGAGAGGAUCAGGGAAUCCACCACCUCAGGAGAGAGACUGCAAAG
rnacentral:lncRNA from 1 species